ACCAGGAACACCACUGAAACGUUUUGGAUUUAGGAAUACCGUAACCUCAUUUCCUAAUCCACACACACACACACAAUAUAAGACCCGCAGCUUACAUACUUACCGCUUGAUCACCGCUAAUUCUGGCGGUAAAUAGCGUGUUGUUAAGGUUUCAGUUCACACACAAAACAGAGCGUGGAAACGGAGGAGAUCGGAGGGCUAGCGGCCCACAGGCCCAGCAGCAACUCCUAUCACCAUUUUCUGUCGUGGGAGCAUGUUUACCCUCUUCCGCCGCCGCUCACUGGCGGCUUACGUCUACGGCCAUGUGCUGAACUCCCAUAAGGUCCACACUUCAACAGCUCCACUGCUGCAGGAAACCGGUCUCUACGGUUUCAACCACUUGAAAACUCCCAAAGGCUUCCGACGCUUUGUUGAGGACGCCAUAGAAAGGUCAAAUGAGCUCGUCACCUUUAUUUCUGGAAUGCCAUCUGCUCCGGAAAUUAUCGGAGCCAUGGAUGAGAUAUCCGACACAGUAUGUUCAGUUAUUGACUCUGCAGAACUUUGUAGAGCUACACAUCCAGACAGGUCAGUAUUGAUUUUGGAUUGAUGUUUUGUGACUGUUAUUGUUAUUUUGCUUAGUCUGUAAAAAUUUUCUGUUCACUUUGCAAUUAAGGGAAUUUGUUGAGGAGGCAAGCGAGGCGUCCCUGAGGAUUAAUGAAUAUAUUCAUGUGAGGCGGCAAGUGGUUUAUUUGCUCUCUUACCAUCUUUACAAGUUCUAUGUUUGUAAUUAGGAUAAGCAAACUGAUUAUAUGUCAAUCAGAUGAACAAACCAGAAUACAGCGGAUCUUAAUUAUGAAACCAACUAAGUUAAUUGAGCCAGCAGAUAAUGUGGGUUAACUAUUCCUUUCCUUCUUUACCUACUAUCAGUCACAAAAGGAAAAACUCAACGCAGAGGAUGUACAAUUGUCUUUUAUAUUGAUUCUCAGGGAGCAGGUUUAAGCUAAUUUUGUAAGAUUUGAAUGAUUGAAUUCAUUGGAUAGGUUCAACAAAAGUAUAAGGUAUUGAAGGCCAGAACAAGUACGUCUUACUUGAUGAUAUUCUUCACGAAGGCUAUAAAGCAGAAUUUUGGUUUUGUGACAUAGUUACAAAUUAUACCUAUUUUGUUUGACUGCUGGCAAUUAUGAUAUGUAAAAUUCUUUAAUUUGUGAAGAUUUUAUGGUUUCUUUUGAUUCAUUUCUUUUAUCAGUCAAAGUGAAUUUUUCUCUGUCAUGUAGCAUCUUAAUACAAAUCAUUGCCUGUACAUGGCGGUGGUAAAAGCUGAGCAGGAUUCCCAUUUGCUAAAUGAAGAAGCUCAAAGAGUAGCCCAUCAUUUACGUCUUGACUUGGAAAAGGCUGGCAUUCAUCUGCCUAGUGAACAGUUGGAUCGAGCUAAUCAGCUUAAUAUGGAGAUUGUUCAGCUGUGCAGAGAGUCACAUGGAUAUCUUUCCAGCAUCACACAUCCCAAAAAAGUUACACCAUCUUGCUAGGCCUAUCUAUCGGACUACAUCAGGUGCAUUUGGGGGAUCAGCAUGGUCUAUGACAAACAUGAAAGAGAAGGGCUUUCGAUUACCAACUGAUCCAAAUACUCUCUCCUCUAUUCUGCAAUGGGUAUCAGAUGCUGAGAUUAGGAAAACAGCUUAUAUACAAGGAAACUCUGCCCCGCUUGGAAAUCUUGGUGUGCUCGAUAAGCUUAUUGCAGCUCGUCAUGAGUUUGCUCAGAUUAUGGGUCAUAGUUCCUAUGCAGAUCUUGCUGUACACUCAAGUAUGGCUUCAUCACCUGAUGUUGUAUUAUCAUUUUUGCUUGAAAUGAGCGAAAUAGUUAGACCUAGGGCGGAUGAGGAGUUUAAGACAAUUUGGAAUUUCAAGAGAGAGAGAAGUGGCCAGCUCUAUGGAGACUUGGAGCCAUGGGAUGAAACAUACUUUACCGCUAUAAUGAAGUCUGCAGCUUAUGAUUUAGAUUCCUCGGUAUAUUCUGCAAAACCUGCAUGCAUUGUAGUUUGUUAUAAUUAUCCUCCAGUAAUAGAUGUGUUUUAUAUUCCGUUCCUACUAUAGGCUAGCUUCUUAUUGUCUAUGUAUUUUGAUACUGUUUAUACUGUUAAACCAUGAAUGAGCAAUUAUUAAUACUGGUGCAUAUGUUUAGCUUUUGCCUUUAUACUUGAACAGUGGGAUAGGAUUCAUGGAAACUCAACAUACAAAGCCUACCUGCCCCCAAGCAAGUUGUUAUUCUGUUUUGUUUUGCUUGAUCAUGACUCAGUAGAUUGGUUUUGGAACCACGACAUUUCAGCACUGGUUAUUUUAGUUUAAAAACUUGCAAAACUUAAUGGGGACUUAAAUGCAAUUAAGUCAAUAGGUGAGAAGGGAAGAAAUUGAUUUGCCUUAAUGUAGAUUUGGAACAAAUAAGGGAGGCUUAGAACAACUAUUUAGAUGAUUGGUUGAGACUGCUCGCAUCCAGACUUUUAUUAGUAGCAAAGGACUGGGUUUCUGUUUGUACCUUAUCCUGGUACUGAGAAGGGAAAUUUGACUUAUUCCUUUAGCUGCUAAUAGUAGAUUAAGGACUUCCACUUUUAGUCAUUCAAAAACUUUAGUCAACAUUAAGAAAACCUAAUUAUAAAAUGAUGGUGUAAAUUUAAUAAAUGAACUAUCCACUUUGCAUAUUUAAGUCUUCCAAUCCUUGUAAGGAUGCACAGGUGGGUGCAUUGGCACCAACUAAUAUCUUUAUUGUAAAUUGUUGGUAACUUUUGCCCAGUAGCUGGAAUGCUGCUUAUUAUUUGUUGUUUGCAUUGCCUACAUUUUUAGCAAUUGCAUAAUAUAAGAAAUAAAUAGAGCAAAAGUCAUCGUCAAAUGCCUUUGUGCAUGUAAGAUGGUUGACAAUAGGAUGGCUUUAAUUGCUAAAGCUAUUCCACUUGUUGCUAUGUGUGAUUUCUGCAGUCCCAUAUGUUGCUAUAUAGAUACUUUGUUGUGUUUGCUUAAAUAUUUGUUCAAUUACCUUAUUCUCUUCAAAUUGUAAAUAGUAGGCUCUUUAUUUAAAUUAUAUGAUCGGCUCUAUCCAUUAAGCAGGUUGUUGCAUCAUUUUUUCCUUUAUCCCAAUGUCUUGAGGGCUUGAAAGUUCUUGCUGAGUCGUUGUUUGGUGUGACAUUUCACCAUAUUCCUCUUGCCCCUGGUGAAUCAUGGCACCCGGACGUCAUUAAAGUAGCCCUACACCACCCAGAUGAGGGUGACUUAGGGUACUUGUACCUUGAUUUGAAAUCGAGAAAGAAUAAGCAUCCUGUUUGUGCUCAUUUUGCUAUCAAAGGGGGACGUCGAUUAUCUGAAACAGAUUAUCAACUUCCUAUUGUAGCCCUAGUCUGCAACUUCUUGGGCUCUAAACCAGCAUCUUUACUCAACCACUGGGAAGUAGAAACGCUUUUCCAUGAGUUUGGACAUGCACUUCAUUCAUUGCUUUCCAGAACGGUAUCUGAUGAAUGGGAUGGUAGUUGACUAGUUUUUACUUUGUUUUUCUUAUUUGAAGUGAUUGUUUGCCCUUGAACCUUGAUGAUCUGGUAUGCAGGAUUACCAACAUUUUUCAGGGACCAGAGUUGUUAUCGAUUUUGCUGAGACACCAUCCAAUCUCUUUCAGUAAGUGAAAUUCUCAUUUAUUCUUGCCUAACUGCUAGAGUUGGGGAUUAUCUGCUAAAUUCUUAUAGGCAAUUCUCACUUAAUGCAUUACAUUCUAUCAUCCUUUUUUUUUUGUGCUUUCUACAUUAAUGCUGCCAUUUUUUGGUUUGUUGGAUUGUGAUGGCGCUGAUAAUGAAAACUUUGAGGAUAAUUACUUCUUGUUUAUGUUGUCCACCAAUAUCAUCACGGACAUUGAUGUUAAAUUAUAGGUAAACAACUUUAGGUGAUAUAGGUCAAAGUCAUCUCAUAAAAGUCAGUCAUCCUUUUAGUUGGUUUUCAAAUUAGGUACUAUGCUUGGGAUUUUCGGAUCCUGAAGACAUUUGCUAGGCAUUAUUCUACCGGUGAUGUAAUACCUGAAGAUUUGGUGAAAUCCAUGAGGGGAGCCAAAGAUAUGUUUUCUGGUACUGAGUUGCAGCGACAGAUAUUUUAUGCUUUAAUUGACCAAAAGUUGUUUGGGGAAGAGGCAUCCUCCAUGAGGGAUACUGCUUCACUUGUAGCAGAAUUAAAAAGACAACAUACCAGUUGGAAGCAUGUUGAUGGCACACAUUGGCACACCCGAUUUGGUCAUCUUGCAUCAUAUGGGGCAGGAUAUUACAGCUACUUGUAUGCCAAAUGCUUUGCUGCAACAAUAUGGCAAAAGAUUUGUGAAGAGGAUCCGCUCUCAUUAGCUGCUGGAUCUGCUAUCAGGCACAAGUUCUUGCAGCACGGAGGAGCCAAGGAUCCUGGUGAUAUAUUAAAUGAUCUUGUGGGAAAACGUAUCUUAAAUUCUCGUUAUGGCGGUAUAGUUCCUGACAUUACAAGCCUGAGUCAUGAAAUGGAGCUAAAGAAUUAGUAGUAUUAGCAAGAGCAACCUGAGGUGGUGACUGUACAAGAAUAGGAGUUAGAAAGCAAGAAAACACAUUUGUAGGUGUAUUAUGUACGAAACCAUCUGCCGCUAGAGUGAACAAGUGGCUGCUGCUACUCUGUCAUCUUGACAUUCCAAGUCACGGAGAAAGUUGACGCAUCAAGAUUACCACCACUUAUAGGUGUAUUCCGCGAGCGUCAAAACAAUUGAAAAAUAGGGCCUCGAUUGGUAUAGAGCUGUUGUAUCGUCUUGACGCCUUUCGAUUGUCUUGGCGACUGUAUGCAUGUACUUUUAUCAAUCUCUUAUUUAGACAUUAAAAUAAGAAAAACCGGCAUUGGCAGC